UACGUAGGGUGCAAGCGUUGUCCGGAAUUAUUGGGCGUAAAGAGCUCGUAGGCGGUUUGUCGCGUCUGCUGUGAAAACGCGAGGCUCAACCUCGCGCCUGCAGUGGGUACGGGCAGACUAGAGUGUGGUAGGGGAGAUUGGAAUUCCUGGUGUAGCGGUGGAAUGCGCAGAUAUCAGGAGGAACACCAAUGGCGAAGGCAGCUCGCUGGGACGGUACUGACGCUGAGACGCGAAAGCGUGGGGAGCGAACAGG
rnacentral:rRNA from 1 species